ACUUUAUACACGAUUGCAUAUUAUUUUCAAUAGCGUCUUGGCUGAAUAAACAACUUUGCAACUCCCCAACUUCUCUGAAUGAACGAUUUUCGGUUCAACAUGGAUCCCACAAUUCUACCAAUUUCGAAAUUCGGGGAUUUUAAAGUAAAAUCUCACGUGGUGAUAAGUAGAACAUUGAAUUCUGGGAAAUGGUUCAGGUAUGGAAUGAACGCAAUAUGACUUACCGCAGUAGUGCUGCUAGUCCUCGAUCCAAGGUGCAGCUGCUGACAGGGUCUUUAUAAAGAGCCAAGACUGCAAAAAAAAGAAAGAAAAAGAGAAACCUUCGAUCAAGUAAAUCGUUACAAAAUCGAAUUCGUUGCACACGACGAAGAAAUCGAGUGUUUUCGAGCAAGUGACAGAAAGAAGCAUCUAAAAGUGGAGCGUCAGGAAUCAGGAGCAGAUUGUGCAUUAGUAAUAAUGUUUAACAAAUGGCAGCCUAUUGUACUCGCAUAUAAACAUUAAUUGUCAAUGCUUUAAUUUAUACAUUUUUAUGUUACAUGUACAUUGGUCUGCUCACCCAACCAGCAUUUUGACUCUUUUAAUUGAAAUAACAUGCUGUGUAUAUUUUUGAAAUUGCACUUGAAAAGUUGUUUGUGCUUAAUCAUUGUAUUUCGUGCAUUUUUGUGGAAUUCUUGCCAAGAGGUCAAUAAAUUAAAUAUCUUUGCCACCCUAAACCACUUACUUGCCUGAUUUUAUUACCUCCUAACUGUUGUUAACCUAUCUUUAGUUUAAAACACACAUGUUUAGUCAGUUUUAUAUGCUGUUUGGAUCAAGUCGGCGUUUAAUUCAACUUUGAGCUUUUAACAGUGAAAAUUACAUUAAUACAUAUUUGCAAAGUGUUUGCAUUGCCACAAUGAAUCUUUGUUAUUUUACUUUGAACAGCUAUUCAAAAUUAGGAUCACUACGUUGAAUUAUUUAAUAUUUGCAUUCUUAUUUUAAAAUCAGUGAUUUCAUUGAAACUAAGUUCUCUUCGAUUGCAAUAAAAAGUGGGGAAGCUGAUAUCUUUAAUAAUGAAAAUUGUUGUGUUCUUUCAUAUGAUUCUGCUAUUGGUCCCGAGUAAAAUAUUCGUUACACUUUACCCCAAAAGGCAUCAAUUCCGGAAAGAUAAAAUACACAAAGCGUUCUGAUCUCCCGGAAUAAAAUGUUUCCCUCCGUCCGAAAGCUGCAACAGUUACGCACGUUGAAUCGUUAACCUUUCCUAUCGAAUGAAUUGAAUUGUAAAUAUUUAAAAGGGUUAAAUACGAAAUGUGAGAAAUGGAAAAGUAAUACUGUUCGUCGAAUCUUAAUAAUAAAGAUUGCGCACUUAUGUGUGACUAGACGCCAGCAGCGCAGCAGAACAAAGGAGAAGGAAAACUGGGUGCGGGUUAAAGCAGGAAUUCACCUGCUGGUUGUAAUAAACGAAAGUCUUCGGUGUUUUCAUAUAAAACAUUAAAAUUAGUUGAAUUAUACAGUUGUGUUAACUUUAAUUGUUUUUCGGCAUAUUUAUUCGUCGGCAGGGUUCCAUUCCUGGGACAAAUGCAAUCGAAAAGGUUUAGUUCUUUGCUGCGGACUGCUAAACUCAUAAAUUAUUUACCUUGUCUGGGAAACAAAUGUUCAAGAAUCAUUGGUUGCCAUAAUGGGCUAUGGUUAAAAUUUGUUUUCUUUUUGCUAAAUUAAUAUGAAUUCCAAAGGAAAAAAAAAGACGGAAAAGAGCGUUGAGAUCGAUGCAUGGAGAGGGUCUGAAUUAGGACUCCUGAAAUCACAUAUACACGCACACACGCACAUUCACUGUUGAGUAAAAUACAUUGAGAAUUAUUCUUCCAGUGAACUAAUUUACAGUCGUUGAGUAUCAGGAGGACACUUAAACAUUUGCAGUUGGGCUAAGUGGAUAAAAAAAAGGGAAAAGAAAUAAAAUAUGACUCAGUUCAUUGUGACAGAUAUAAGCCUCUCUCUGAAUGACCUUUCCUUGAAUAGUAAUAACUCACCACAUUAAUGAUCAAUCAGCGGGAAGGUUUGAAAUGUGUCCAAAAUAACAAUCCGUCCCACUAUCCCAGGCUUUCUCUGCGAUCGCAUAUAAUCCUUUUAUAAGAGGGCACUCUACGUUGUUAUUGUUUCCGUAGAAGCUGUUUGCAAAGGUUUCAAGGAGAAUGCCAGGAGAUUGAGUUGAGGAAGUUUAAGCGGUCAACAUUGGAUGGACCUCAGUUUGGAAACUUUCAAAGUCGCGAGUAUAAUAGCUAAACACUGUUUACCCAGGUCAUAAAUCAUGUGCACAUUCAUCUUGAGGAUAACACCCUAUCUAAAAAUGCUUUUGAAGCUUUUUGCACGAAUUCAGAGGUGUCAAUGGCCAUCAAAGGAGCAUUUUUUGGCAAAUGAAGAAAAUCGACAUCCCAAAGGCCUGCCAAUCAUAGAGCAACUGCGAGUUUUCGUUCUUUCCCCUCUUCAUUUACAAGCACAGAACCAAUAUUCAGAGAUGGAGGAAACAGAUUAUGUGCCACAUUCUUUUAAGCCAUAUAAACUUUAUCAAACUAU